CAGGUCCAUACGGUUACCCAAUAAGGAUACCCAAUUUAUUGUUUUGGCUGUGAUUUGGUCCUGCACCCGGACACUGACUGAUCAAAACUCACUUCAGUAAUGGAACUGCAAUCAGUAUGGCUGAAAACUCAUGCCUGCCAUACCAGCUAAAACAGAUAAUAACACGGUGCGGCCGGGCCCCUGAAAUAAGUGGCCCCUCUACAGAAGAUGCAACCACCAUGUCCAGUACACUAUGGUGCCAUCUGCUGGGGGAGAACAGCAACUGCAGGCAAUUAAACUAUAUAAAAAUUGGUUCUGACUUUACGCCAGUGUUUCCCAACCAGGGUGCCUCCAGCUGUUGCAAAACUACAACUCCCAGCAUGCCUGGACAGCCGAAGGCUUUUUGUUGCUGCUUUUUGUUGUUUUUUUAUGUUGAAUUUUUGUCUGUGCAAUUGGUUCUGUGUUAUGUGUUAUUUGUUAUGAUAUGUAUUUUGGAAAUUAAAAAUAAAGAAUAAAAAAAAACUAUCAAAAAUUUGGUUCUGACUUUACGCCAGUGUUUCCCAACCAGGGUGCCUCCAGCUGUUGCAAAACUACAACUCCCAGCAUGC